GACGGGGGAUGCAAGUGUUAUCCGGAAUCACUGGGCGUAAAGCGUCUGCAGGUGGUUUCCUAAGUCCACUGUUAAACCUUGAGGCUCAACCUCAAAUCUGCAUUGGAAACUAGGAGACUUGAGUAUAGUAGGGGUAGAGGGAAUUUCCAGUGGAGCGGUGAAAUGCGUAGAUAUUGGAAAGAACACCGAUGGCGAAGGCACUCUACUGGGCUAUUACUGACACUCAGAGACGAGAGCUAGGGGAGCAAAUGGG
rnacentral:rRNA from 1 species